ACAUGCAAGUCGAGCGGGCCCUUCGGGGUCAGCGGCAGACGGGUGAGUAACGCGUGGGAACGUACCAUUUGCUACGGAAUAACUCAGGGAAACUUGUGCUAAUACCGUAUGAGCCCCCCUUUAAAAUUUCAGGAAUCAUAAAAUGCCCUGGCAUUUUAUGGGGGGGAAAGAUUUAUCGGCAAAUGAUCGGCCCGCGUUGGAUUAGCUAGUUGGUGGGGUAAAGGCCUACCAAGGCGACAAUCCAUAGCUGGUCUGAGAGGAUGAUCAGCCACACUGGGACUGAGACACGGCCCAGACUCCUACGGGAGGCAGCAGUGGGGAAUAUUGGACAAUGGGCGCAAGCCUGAUCCAGCCAUGCCGCGUGAGUGAUGAAGGCCCUAGGGUUGUAAAGCUCUUUCACCGGUGAAGAUAAUGACGGUAACCGGAGAAGAAGCCCCGGCUAACUUCAUGCCAGCAGCCGCGGUAAUACGAAGGGGGCUAGCGUUGUUCGGAUUUACUGGGCGUAAAGCGCACGUAGGCGGGCUAAUAAGUCAGGGGUGAAAUCCCGGGGCUCAACCCCGGAACUGCCUUUGAUACUGUUAGUCUUGAGUAUGGUAGAGGUGAGUGGAAUUCCGAGUGUA
rnacentral:rRNA from 2 species